rnacentral:rRNA from 1 species
GGUGACACUAUAGAAUACUCAAGCUAUGCAUCCAACGCGUUGGGAGCUCUCCCAUAUGGUCGACCUGCAGGCGGCCGCGAAUUCACUAGUGAUUAGAGUUUGAUCAUGGCUCAGGAUGAAUGCUGGCGGCGUGCCUAACACAUGCAAGUCGAGCGGCAGCGCGGGUAGUUUACUACCUGGCGGCGAGCGGCGGACGGCUGAGUAACGCGUGGGAACGUACCCCAAAGUGAGGAAUAACCGCCCGAAAGGGUGGCUAAUGCCGCAUAUGGUCUUCGGAUUAAAGGAUUUAUCCGCUUUGGGAACGGCCUGCGUACGAUUAGAUAGUUGGUGGGGUAAAGGCCUACCAAGUCUACGAUCGUUAACUGGUCUGAGAGGAUGAUCAGUCAGACUGGAACUGAGAUACGGUCCAGACUCCUACGGGAGGCAGCAGUGAGGAAUCUUCCACAAUGGGCGAAAGCCUGAUGGAGCAACGCCGCGUGCAGGAUGAAGGCCUUCGGGU